GAUGAACGCUGGCGGCGUGCUUAACACAUGCAAGUCGAACGGAAAGGCCCUGCUCUUGUGGGGUGCUCGAGUGGCGAACGGGUGAGUAUCACGUGUGUAACCUGCCCUUGUCUUUGGGAUAACUUCAGGAAACUGGGGCUAAUAUCGGAUAGGAUCUCCUGCUGCAUGGUGGGGGUUGGAAAGUUUCGGCGGUUGGGGAUAGACUCGCGGCUUAUCAGCUUGUUGGUCGGGUAGUUGCUUACCAAGGCUUUGACGGGUAGCCGGCCUGAGAGGGUUGCCGGCGACAUUGGGACUGAGGUACGGACCAGACUCCAACGGGAGGCAGCGGUGGGAAAUAUUGCACAAUGGGCGGAAGCCUGUGACAGCAACGCCGGGUGCGGGAUGACGGCCUUCGGGUUGUAAACCGCUUUCGCCUGUGACGAAGCGUGAGUGACGGUAAUGGGUAAAGAAGCACCGGCUAACUACGUG
rnacentral:rRNA from 1 species